AUUGAACGCUGGCGGAAUGCUUUACUCAUGCAAGUCGAACGGCAGCACGGACUUCGGUCCGGUGGCGAGUGGCGAACGGGUGAGUAAUGUAUCGGAACGUGCCCAGUCGUGGGGGAUAACGUAGUGAAAAUUACGCUAAGACCGCAUACGAUCUAUGGAUGAAAGCGGGGGAUCGCAAGACCUCGCGCGAUUGGAGCGGCGGAUAUCAGAUGAGGUAGUUGGUGGGGUAAAGGCCCACCAAGCCAACGAUCUGUAGCUGGUCUGAGAGGCACGACCAGCCACACUGGAACUGAGACACGGUCCAGACUCCUACGGGAGGCAGCAGUGGGGAAUUUCGGACAAUGGGCGAAAGCCUGAUCCAGCCAUUCCGCGUGCAGGAUGAAGGCCCUCGGGUUGUAAACUGCUUUUGUACAGAACGAAAAGGUUUCUACUAAUACUAGGAGCUCAUGACGGUACUGUAAGAAUAAGCACCGGCUAACUACGUGCCAGCAGCCGCCGUAA
rnacentral:rRNA from 1 species